UUCUGCGGCCAUGCCUCCCUGAACUUGUCCUAUCUCGUCUGAUCUCAGAAGCUAAGCAGGGUCGGGCCUGGUUAGGGCUUGGAUGGGAGACCACCUAGGAAUAUCAGGUGCUGUAGGUG
rnacentral:rRNA from 1 species